CCUACGGGAGGCAGCAGUCGAGAGGCUUCGGCAAUGGGGGAAACCCUGACCGAGCGACGCCGCGUGAGGGAUGAAGGCCCUUGGGUUGUAAACCUCUUUUGUUCGGGAAGAAGUGCGAUCCGGUGAAUAAUCUGGUCGUUUGACGGUACCGGACGAAUAAGCUCCGGCUAACUCCGUGCCAGCAGCCGCGGUAAU
rnacentral:rRNA from 1 species